UACGAAGGGGGCUAGCGUUGUUCGGAUUUACUGGGCGUAAAGCGCACGUAGGCGGCUCGUUAAGUCGGGGGUGAAAUCCUGGAGCUCAACUCCAGAACUGCCUUCGAUACUGGCGAUCUUGAGUCCGGAAGAGGUGAGUGGAACUCCUAGCGUAGAGGUGGAAUUCGUAGAUAUUAGGAAGAACACCAGUGGCGAAGGCGGCGAUCUGGGUAGAUACUGACGCUGAGGUGCGAAAGCGUGGGGAGCAAACAGG
rnacentral:rRNA from 1 species